UACGUAGGCAGCAAGCGUUGUUCGGAGUUACUGGGCGUAAAGGGUGUGUAGGCGGUUCCUUAAGUUUGGUGUGAAAUCUCCCGGCUCAACUGGGAGGGUGCGCCGAAUACUGAGGGACUAGAGUACGGGAGAGGAAAGUGGAAGUUCCUGGUGGUAGCGGUGAAAUGCGUAGAUAUCAGGAGGAACACCGGUGGUGUAGACGGCUUUCUGGACCAUUGCUGACGCUGAGACACGAAAGCGUGGGUAGCAAACAGG
rnacentral:rRNA from 1 species